rnacentral:rRNA from 1 species
CCCUUAGAUGUUCUGGGCUGCACGCGCGCUACACUGAUGCACUCAACGAGUUUACGACCUUGCCCGGAAGGGUUGGGUAAUCUUUUUAAAACGCAUCGUGAUGGGGAUAGAUUAUUGCAAUUAUUAAUCUUUAACGAGGAAUUCCUAGUAAGCACAAGUCAUCAGCUUGUGUUGAUUACGUCCCUGCCCUUUGUACACACCGCCCGUCGCUCCUACCGAUUGAAUGUUCCGGUGAGCUCUUCGGACUGCGCGGUCUGCAGUUUCUGCGUUCCGUGCGGAAAGUUGCGCAAACCUUAACAUUUAGAGGAAGGAGAAGUCGUAACA